UAUUCCUUGCUUACUAAACACAGAAAGCUGUGCUCAAGCCGUGUCCUCAGUUUUAUGCACGAUGUCAUUCUCUAAUGAAGCUUGGUUGUGACUGCGCUAUGACCAGGAUAAAACUGAUGCAACGCAAGUUUGCGUAGGAUUGGUUAAAAAGCUUGAUGGUUCUCGAUGUCUAGCGGCCAAACUAACCAGCAUGAGGCAUUUAGUUAUCCGUCUAGUUGGCACCCACCCCUACUCAUUGAACCUAACAGAAGUGGUGCUUUAAUGAUAUUCUACUAAAGCUCACUCUAGCUGAAGAUAUCGAAUUUUUUUUCCACGAACAAGCUUCGCUCUAUUUCAUCAAAACUGUGAUCUUAAUCUUGGAUUCAUUAUUUAUAUCUCUUGAAAUUAAGGUAAGUGUAACCGAUAAGGGGUGUGAAACUAUAGCCUACUUGUACCAUGUGCCAUGAUUAUUUCUCAAGACACAAUCUAAUGAUACUAUUCUCAAGACACGUCACGGUUUAGUUUACCAUUUGGGUAUAAAAGCUGUCUCAUAAUUCGGAGAGUUUUUGGCUGUUAAUCGUGGCGAAGCAAUCUGUAAUGCAAAUGAAAAUAUAAAUAGAUGUGAAGUAUUCAUUUAAUCAAUAGUGUGGUGAUGGGAAUUCAAGGAUUGACUCAUUACAAGCGGCACUCAUGCACGUCUCAAGUCUCCAACAUGUAUAUCUAGCAUCUUUUUACCUCCUCUCCUCUCCUCUCCUCUCCUCUCCUCUCCUCUCCUCUCCUCUCCUUUCAUUUCCACUCAUGUGAAAUUUCUGUCAUUUAUACAACAACCAUUCUACACUCAACUCAAACCAGUGAACCCACACCCACUAGCAACAUAAGGGUCAUUAUCAUAGCCAGUCACAAUAAAACAUAAUAUGUUACUUAGGGGCUCGAGAUUGAUGUGAGUGUUUUGCUUACGAAUACAUUCACGAGCUGACUGUACAAUGAACGAGAAAUUUCAUCACGUGAUCGAUUUUAGCCAAUCGCGCACUUGGAUUUUGUACAGUGAACGAAGAUUGAAUAUUUAUUAUCAAUAGUCCUUUUCUCAUUUGGUAAAUACCGCUGUGUUAUAUGACUGAAGACUCGCCUGCACAAGCUCAGCCUUGUUUAAGAGCAAAUCAUUUGCAAAAGUCAACUGUAAUGUAAAGAAUGUGCAAGUUGAACAAUACUAAUGUUUUGAAAUCUCCCGGACUCUUAUGGUAUAUGUGAAUAGCUGACUUAUAAACGAGGCUAAAUCUGUGCAAUGAGCAGUGCUCUUCAAAGAAGCGGUAUGCAUUGAAUGCGAAACUGGUCGAUCUUUUUCUCGUACUCAAAAUGAAAUAAAAUAAAUCACUUUUAUUUAAGUGUCUAGUCGUUCUAGCGCUUUCGCACUAAUAGGGGAAACUUUUCGCUCACACGCACUACCACUACUCUUAAUGUUCUAUUCACACAACGCUCAAGUCACAUGUUGAUUUUUACGGAGGGAGGAAACCGGAGAACCCGGAGAAAACCCUCGUAGCAUAGGAGAGAACAACACAUCAAACAAACUCAAUUCACAUGUUGGACUCACGGCGAUGAAAGACGACGCGUUAGCCACGAAAUAAGGGUUCUGGUUACGAGAUUUUACUUACUAGAAACCCGGUCUCGGCCCUAGGUUGAUUUCAUAACUCGUAGCUUUCGCUCCAUUGUGGGUAGUGGUCCCUCAAGCGCGUAGGUGAGAUGAGAGAUAUGUAUCAAGAUUAGUCGACAAAAGAGUGAAAACACCGCGGUCGCCCUUGAAAAAUAAUCAUCAACUGCCUGAAAGGGCACCAUAUAAUACCGUAAUCACUAUUGAUGGUUUUCACGGCGGCCAUGUUGAAGGAACUGUCAAUGUAUGUAAGUAUGAAGUAUUGUCAAUGAAUUCUUUUGUUAUAUCCUCCAACAUGCCCGCCGCGUCUUUUGUUAUUUAUAGUUCUCUUGGAAAUGGUUGAAAACCAUCAAUACUCCACCAUUACUCUACCUAUCAGUAUGACCCUUAGACUCCGUCUCCCUACGGCCCUACAUUACUGGCUGUGUUGGAAAAUACUUUGGUGAACCGACUAAACCGCCUUCCUGACUAUAAAACCCAGUGUUAUCAUAUCCAUGUUGCGGCUUCUCCCUGCGACACGACACAAGCUUGCUUUGGCCAUGGAGUAGCAAUACGCUCAGCAUCAGGAAAUGUUUUAGUUGCAAACGGGUAUAAGAACGUUUCACUUUCUGCAUGCAACAGACUUCAGGCUCGGAUACACCGUGCAAUAUUGGGCGCAACGCUGCAAAUAAAAUAACAAUUUGAA